UUUUGUUCUACACAGCUGCAUUUUAAGUCACUUUCAUUAGCUUUCUCCAUAAAUCAAUGCAGACUCGAUUACCCUGCUUUUGCAUAUUGGAGACAAUGAACUCUAAGAAUUUGUGAAAGUUUUGUAGUAUGUGCAUGGUGUCUUUCAGUUCAUGAUAAGAAAUUGUUGACUAGGUGUGUACCCUGCAGAUACCCUUCGGUCAUACCGUUUUUUAAAUGGUUGACAUAUCGCUGUUCAUGUCAUUUCAAGUAAUUUCGGUUCAACUUUUAUGUCUUUUAUAUGUAACUGCUCUUUUUUGCUGUGAAUUGUCACUAUUUUCAGCCAACAAAGAAUCUUUGCCAUGCAAGUCUUCGAGUUGCAUAGAUUAAUAAAGGUAAACAGAUCAAUGUAUUUUGGACUUGCUAGGCAUUUCAGCAAAUUAUGUUUUUUCUUUUUCUUUUUUUAGUUUCUUACCCCAUCCGUGUAAAAUAAAAAACUAAAUUACCUUGCACUGGUUUCUUGUUUCUUUGAUUGGAGAAAACAAAUUUGAACUUUGCAUUCAUUUGGAUCACAGGUUCAGAGGUUGAUUGCUGCGUCACCAAAGAUAUUGCUUGAAGAUACCUAUUAUAUGGGCAAACUAUCUUUAGAUGUUUCUCCAUUCAAGAAGUUGCCAUCUGACAAUGUUUCUGAACCUCCAUUGAUUCUUAAAAUCAGAGAUCGUUCUCAAAAACCAAAGAUUGGCAUUGAAUAUGCAGAUGAGAAUGCAGUUGCAAAGCUUCCCCAUCCCUCUGCCAAUGGUGAUACCCACAAAGGACUUCUUACACAGCGGCCAAAAUAUGGGCCUUACUCAGCAAAUGUCUUGUCAACAUCAAGGGCCACGAAUACCGGAUCAUCAUCUCCUUGGGGUUUUUCUCCACCUGGAAGUCAGUGGUUAGUUCCUGUAAUGUCUCCUUCCGAAGGACUUGUCUACAAG
rnacentral:lncRNA from 1 species